rnacentral:rRNA from 1 species
ACGGGAGGCAGCCUUGUUGCAUAUUGGGCAAUGGGCGCAAGCCUGACCCAGCAACGCCGCGUGAAGGAAGAAGGCUUUCGGGUUGUAAACUUCUUUUGUCAGGGACGAGUAGAAGACGGUACCUGAUGAAUAAGCCACGGCUAACUACGUGCCAGCAGCCGCGGUAAUACGUAGGUGGCAAGCGUUGUCCUGAUUUACUGGGUGUAAAGGGCGUGUAGCCGGGUCGGCAAGUCGGAUGUGAAAUCCAUGGGCUUAACUCGUUAACUGCAUUUGAAACUGUUGAUCUUGAGUAUCGGAGAGGCAAUCGGAAUUCCUAGUGUAGCGGUGAAAUGCGUAGAUAUUAGGAGGAACACCAGUGGCGAAGGCGGAUUGCUGGACGACAACUGACGGUGAGGCGCUAAAGCGUGGGGAGCAAACAUGAUUAGAUACCCUGGUA